rnacentral:rRNA from 1 species
AGCGAACGCUGGCGGCAGGCUUAACACAUGCAAGUCGAGCGGGCACUUCGGUGUCAGCGGCAGACGGGUGAGUAACACAUGGGAACGUACCCUUCGGUUCGGAAUAACGCUGGGAAACUAGCGCUAAUACCGGAUACGCCCUUUUGGGGAAAGGUUUACUGCCGAAGGAUCGGCCCGCGUCUGAUUAGCUAGUUGGUGGGGUAAUGGCCUACCAAGGCGACGAUCAGUAGCUGGUCUGAGAGGAUGAUCAGCCACACUGGGACUGAGACACGGCCCAGACUCCUACGGGAGGCAGCAGUGGGGAAUAUUGGACAAUGGGCGCAAGCCUGAUCCAGCCAUGCCGCGUGAGUGAUGAAGGCCUUAGGGUUGUAAAGCUCUUUUGUCCGGGACGAUAAUGACGGUACCGGAAGAAUAAGCCCCGGCUAACUUCGUG